rnacentral:rRNA from 1 species
GACGAACGCUGGCGGCGUGCUUAACACAUGCAAGUCGAACGGAAAGGCACUGCUUUUGUGGGGUGCUCGAGUGGCGAACGGGUGAGUAACACGUGAGUAACCUGCCCUUGACUUUGGGAUAACUUCAGGAAACUGGGGCUAAUACCGGAUAGGAGCUCCUGCCGCAUGGUGGGGGUUGGAAAGUUUCGGCGGUUGGGGAUGGACUCGCGGCUUAUCAGCUUGUUGGUGGGGUAGUGGCUUACCAAGGCUUUGACGGGUAGCCGGCCUGAGAGGGUGACCGGCCACAUUGGGACUGAGAUACGGCCCAGACUGCUACGGGAGGCAGCAGUGGGGAAUAUUGCACAAUGGGCGGAAGCCUGAUGCAGCAACGCCGCGUGCGGGAUGACGGCCUUCGGGUUGUAAACCGCUUUCGCCUGUGACGAAGCGUGAGUGACGGUAAUGGGUAAAGAAGCACCGGCUAACUACGUG